UGUUUCUGCUUUUGAGAGAGCAAGCAGAGCCGAGGUUUUGGUUGCCGUCAAUUCGGGUUGAAGCGAAAGAAACUCUGUGAGGCGUUUGGGCUAUGUGUUUCGACUUAUCGAGGAAUCGGAUGAAGGAGCAUUAUGAAGAGUUAUACUGUGUUUUGGUUUAUAUGAUAUUGUAUUAAUUAGAUAAUUAUUCUUCUCUCGUCUUUGUUAUUACAAUUUUUAUAAGAGGGAUAGAAAUUGUAUGUUUA